rnacentral:ribozyme from 1 species
GGUGCUCUAAUAAUCACACAUCUCUACGCGGUGAGCAGCAGGCAACGAUCUUAUGGUCGGCUGAGAUGUGAUG